UUGAAUUAAAUUAAAUUUCCAAAUUUCCAAAUUUAAUUAAAAUUGAAAGGUGUAGUCAGAUUGCCAAUAAUCCUUCUAAAAAAUAAUUAAGACCUUCGGUCAUCUAAAUAAACAAGAACUAAACAAUCUUUCUCUCCUCUCAUGACCCACACCACAUGUCAUCUAUUGUUUCAAAUAUCCAAAAUCGACAUUGAAUCGCUCUAAUCUGAAACAAUCUGACUCUGCUAGCAAUAAUCAAAUUUUCUAACCUCCUCCAUCACUAUAUCGAUGGACCUCAAUUGACUUGAAGAGUGGAUUGUCCCUCCUCUUCCACAGUCUGUAAAUCGCCAUCAGGCCAUCCUUCACCCACCAAACAUCACAUUUUCGGCAAAACCCCUCUUUGGGGUGGCAACCUGAUUGCCCCCUCUUGAUAUGUUAA
rnacentral:lncRNA from 1 species